rnacentral:rRNA from 1 species
UACGUAGGUGGCAAGCGUUGUCCGGAAUUACUGGGCGUAAAGGGCGUGUAGGCGGUCUUUUAAGUCAGGCGUGAAAGCCCUGGGCUCAACCCAGGAACUGCGUUUGAAACUGGAAGACUUGAGGAUCGGAGAGGGCAGUGGAAUUCCCAGUGUAGCGGUGAAAUGCGUAGAUAUUGGGAGGAACACCAGUGGCGAAGGCGACUGCCUGGACGACACCUGACGCUGAGGCGCGAAAGCUAGGGGAGCAAACGGG